rnacentral:rRNA from 1 species
GAAAUUAGCCUACAUGAAGCCGGAAUUGCUAGUAAUGGCAGGUCAGCAUACUGCCGUGAAUACGUUCCCGGGCCUCGUACACACCGCCCGUCACACCAUGAGAGUUGGGGAUACCCGAAGCCUGUGAGCCAACUAUAUAGAGGCAGCAGUCGAAGGUAGAAUCAAUGAUUGGGGUGAAGUCGUAACAAGGUAGC